UACGGAGGAUCCGAGCGUUAUCCGGAUUUAUUGGGUUUAAAGGGUGCGUAGGCGGCCUGUUAAGUCAGGGGUGAAAGACGGUAGCUUAACUAUCGCAGUGCCUUUGAUACUGCCGGGCUUGAAUGUACUUGAGGUAGGCGGAAUGUGACAAGUAGCGGUGAAAUGCAUAGAUAUGUCACAGAACACCAAUUGCGAAGGCAGCUUACUAAAGUAUGAUUGACGCUGAGGCACGAAAGCCAGGGGAGCGAACGGG
rnacentral:rRNA from 1 species